rnacentral:rRNA from 1 species
UUCCGGUUGAUCCUGCCGGACCCGACCGCUAUCGGGGUGAGACUAAGCCAUGGGAGUCGUACGCCCCGGUCACCGGGGCGUGGCGGACGGCUGAGUAAUACGUGGCUAACCUACCCUCGGGACGUGGAUAGUCCCGGGAAACUGGGACUAAUCCCCGAUAGGUGGGGAGGCCUGGAAGGGUCCCCCACCGAAAGGGUUCUGCGGGGAUGUCCGCAGAGCCGCCCGAGGAUGGGGCCACGGCCCAUCAGGUAGUUGGCGGGGUAACGGCCCGCCAAGCCGAUAACGGGUAGGGGCCGUGGGAGCGGGAGCCCCCAGAUGGGCCCUGAGACAAGGGCCCAGGCCCUACGGGGCGCACCAGGCGCGAAAACUCCGCAAUGCGGGAAACCGUGACGGGGUCACCCCGAGUGCCCCGAAGAGGGGCUUUUCCCCGCUGUAAACAGGCGGGGGUAAUAAGCGGGGGGCAAGUCUGGUGUCAGCCGCCGCGGUAAUACCAGCCCCGCGAGUGGUCGGGACGAUUAUUGGGCCUAAAGCGCCCGUAGCCGGCCCGGUAAGUCCCCCCUUAAAGCCUCGGGCCCAACCCGAGGACGGGGGGGAUACUGCCGGGCUAGGGGGCGGGAGAGGCCGAGGUACUCCCGGGGUAGGGGCGAAAUCCGUUAAUCCCGGGAGGACCACCAGUGGCGAAGGCGCUCGGCUGGAACGCGCCCGACGGUGAGGGGCGAAAGCCGGGGGAGCGAACCGAUUAGAUACCCGGGUAGUCCCGGCUGUAAACGAUGCGGGCUAGUGUUGGGCGGGAACUUGAGCCCGCCCAGUGCCGCAGGGAAGCCGUUAAUGACCCGCCGCCUGGGGAGUACGGCCGCAAGCUGAAACUUAAAGGAAUUGGCGGGGGAGCACCACAAGGGGUGGAGCCUGCGGCUCAAUUGGAGUCAACGCCAGGAAUCUUACCGGGGGAACAGCAGGAUGACGGCCAGUUGAAACUUGCCCGACGCGCUGAGAGAGGUGCAUGGCCGUCGCCAGCUCGUGUCGUGAGACGUCCGGUUAAGUCCGGCAACGANCGAACCCCCGCCCCUAGUUGCUACCGGUCCUGCGGGACGGGGCACACUAGGGGGACUGCCGCCGUUUAAGGCGGAAGAAGGGGGGGGCCACGGCAGGUCAGUAUGCCCCGAAACCCCGGGCUGCACCGGGGCUACAAAUGGGCGGNGGACAGCGGGUGC